CGCUGAAAUUAGCACUAAUGUAGCGUCAGUCAAAAUGAGACUGAAAACAAAAACACAAAUACAAUCCAGGUCCAAAGAAAAUAAGAUGACACAUAUGAUGAAAUAUGUGUUUCAAAAAGAUGAGCAAUUACAGCUUCUACAAAUACACCACCCGUGCGAUUUUAUGAAUAUCAUGUUCGGGAAUGUGAAUCCACGAAAUACGGAGAAAG
rnacentral:lncRNA from 1 species